GUUCAGGGGUAAACCUGCGAAACUCGAAUGAACGAACGGAGAGAUUCAUCGUCAUUCCUCGGUGUACGGGCGCGUUCAUCGAUGUCGUCGAUUUCGAUCGGUCGGCACGUGUCGCGUUCGUUUAUGUCCGGGGACGGCGUGCACUUCUCUCUUAGUAAUACAUCGCGACCCGUUCGAUGUCGGUCUAAGCGCUUUCCGGGAGCCCUGCUGUUCAUUUCGGUGGACGGUAGGACCGCGAAGGUUGCCGACCGGCCGUCGGACGGUAUAAGAUAGGAAUCGCGCACGCGUUAACGCGCGUCCGGCCCGACGCAAGGUAACGUCGUAUCCGAUAUCCUGCCAAAGUGCGGAGGUCGGUGCGGCGCCCCUGUCGUUGCUGCCGUGCAGUCUCGGACUGUGUGCGUCUCUGUCUGCGAUGAUUCUGUUUCGGGCACUCGCAGGACCCGUCUUGAAACACGGACCAAGGAGUCUAGCAUGUGUGCGAGUCAUUGAGAUUUAAAAACUGAAAGGCGCAACGAAAGUGAAGGCGUGCGCUUGUCGCGCGCUCAGGGAGGAUGGAGCGUUGAUCUCGAUCGACCUCUCGCACUCCCGAGGCGUCUCGUUUCCAAUCCGUGAAUGCAGGCGCGCUCUGAGCACAGAUGCUGGGACCCGAAAGAUG
rnacentral:rRNA from 1 species